UACGAAGGGGGCUAGCGUUGUUCGGAUUUACUGGGCGUAAAGCGCACGUAGGCGGAUCUUUAAGUCAGAGGUGAAAUCCCAAGGCUCAACCUUGGAACUGCCUUUGAUACUGGGGAUCUCGAGUUCGGGAGAGGUGAGUGGAACUGCGAGUGUAGAGGUGAAAUUCGUAGAUAUUCGCAAGAACACCAGUGGCGAAGGCGGCUGUCUGGUCCGGUUCUGACGCUGAGGCGCGAAAGCGUGGGGAGCAAACAGG
rnacentral:rRNA from 1 species